rnacentral:tRNA from 1 species
GUCCCGUUCAUCUAGAGGCCUAGGAUCCCAGCCUUUCACGCUGGUUACAGGGGUUCGACUCCCCUACGGGACG